UGGAGCAGGAAAGACAGCAAGGAAUAGGAAGAGCUUGUAGACAAGGGAUCCAUCAGAGAGGUGGGCAUGGGCCUCAACAGAGAGGCCAGAGAGGUGGGUAUGGGCCCCAGCAGAGAGGCCAGAGAGGUGGGCAUGGGCCCCAACAGAGAGGCCAGAGAGGUGGUAUGGGCCCCAGCAGAGAGGCCAGAUAGGUGGGUAUGGGCCCCAACAGAGAGGCCAGAGAGGUGGGUAUGGGCCCCAGCAGAGAGACCAGAGAGGUGGGUAUGGGGCCCAGCAGAGAGGCCAGAGAGAAAACCCCAUAGUGGUGGCCGGGGCCCUGUGCUGACCGACCAGCAGGAGUGGGCAGUGGUGGAAAUGGAGAGGGCCACGAAUGAUAUAUGGCUGUCGGAAAUGAAGCAAGGCAAUUGAGGAGAACAAUGACACCUUUGCCAGUCUUUUCCAGCCUGCGUAUCCAUCUCAUAAAUCCAGGAGUCUCUGUAGCUCCAUCGGGCAUGGACACUUACUCCAUCCAUUUGUCCGACGCAUGCGCAAAAGAACAACACAGAGCACAGCGUAAGUAAACAUGGAGGCCACUGUGUACUAUUGUUCAACAUACUUUUGUGUACAUAAACAGCAGUUGACUUUUACUGCUGGAUGCUGUUAAGAAUAUCUCUAAAAGACAUGUUCGUUCUGAUUUCUGGAGGAAGGAGGAGAAGCUUGGGUCGAAUUGAAAGUUAAGCAAAAGGUUUAAUG